CGUCUACUCCUGCUCCGGUACCUACACGCUACUGUCACGUCUACUCCUGCUCCGGUACCUACACGCUACUGUCACGUCUACUCCUGCUCCGGAGUCGCCGGUCUACUGACCACCGUGUCUUUAUGCACACCUAGACCUCUCCCGGAGGGCAGAGAGUGGGGUAGACCUGGGCAGAGAGUGGGGUAGACCAGGGCAGAGAGUGGGGUAGACCAGGGCAGAGAUGGGAGUUGACCAGGGCAGAGAGUGGGGUUGACCAGGGCAGAGAGUGACCAGGGUGGAGAGUGGGUAGACCAGGGCAGAGAGUGACCAGGGUGGAGAGUGGGUAGACCAGGGCGGAAAGUGGGGUUGACCUCCUCACUAGGUGUCUCAUCUCCUGUUCUCUAGGUGUCUCCUCUCCUCCUCUCCAGGUGUCUCCUCUCCUCCUCUCCAGGUGUCUCCUCUCCUCCUCUCAAGGUGUCUCCUCUCCUCCUCUCCUCCUCUCCAGAUGAAUCCUCUCCUCACUAGGUGUCUCCUCUCCUCCUCUCUAGGUGUCUCCUCUCCUCCUCUCUAGGUGUCUCCUCUCCUCCUCUCUAGGUGUCUCCCCUCUUCCUCUCCUCCUCACUAGGUGUCUCCUCUCCUCCUCACUAGGUGUCUCCUCUCCUCCUCUCCAGGUGUCUCCUCUCCUCCUCACUAGGUGUCUCCUCUCCUGCUCACUAGCUGUCUCCUCUCCUCCACACUAGGUGUCUCCUCUCCUGCUCACUAGGUGUCUCCUCUCCUCCUCACUAGCUGUCUCCUCUCCUCCUCACUAGGUGUCUCCUCUCCUGCUCACUAGGUGUCUCCUCUCCUCCUCACUAGCUGUCUCCUCUCCUCCUCACUAGCUGUCUCCUCUCCUCUUCACUAGGUGUCUCCUCUCCUCCUCACUAGGUGUCUCCUCUCCUCCUCUCUAGGUGUCUCCUCUCCUCCUCACUAGGUGUCUCCUCUCCUCCUCUCCACGUGUCUCCUCUCCUCCUCACUAGGUGUCUCCUCUCCUCCUCACUAGUUGUCUCCUCCUCUCCUCACUAGCUGUCUCCUCUCCUCCUCAAUAGGUGUCUCGUCUCCUCCUCACUAGGUGGCUCCUCUCCUCCUCACUAGGUGUCUC
ensembl:lncRNA